GUGAGUCAUCGAAUCUUUGAACGCACAUUGCGCCCUGUGGUAUUCCGCAGGGCAUGCCUGUUCGAGCGUCAUUUCAACCCUCAAGCCUGGCUUGGUGUUGGGCCCUGCCCGCGGUGGCCGGCCCUAAAGAUAGUGGCGGCGCCGCCUAGCCCUCAGCGUAGUACAACUCUCGCUCCAGGGUCUGGCGGUGGCCUGUCAGAACCCCCCAACUCUGUGGUUGACCUCGGAUCAGGUAGGGAUACCCGCUGAACUUAAGCAUAUCAAUAAGCGGAGGA
rnacentral:misc_RNA from 1 species